rnacentral:rRNA from 1 species
GAUGAACGCUGGCGGCGUGCUUAACACAUGCCAGUCGAACGGGAAACCUUUUAUUGAGGCUUCGGCAGAUUUAGCUGGUUUCUAGUGGCGGACGGGUGAGUAACUCGUGGUUAAACUGCCUUAUAUAGGGGGAUAACAACCAGAUAUGGUUGCUUAUAUCGCACAAGCGCACAGGACCGCAAGGUACGGUGUGAAUAACCCUGGUGGUAUAAGAGGGACCCGCGUUGGUUUAGGGUGUUGGAAGGGUAAAGGCCUACAAAGGCGACUAUCCAUACACGGCGUGAGAGGGUGAACGGCCACAUUUGGGCUGGGACACAGCCCAGACUCCUACGGGAGGCAGCAGUGGGGAAUAUUGCACAAUGGGGGAAACCCUGAUGCAGCGACGCCGCGAGAAGGAAGAAGUAACUCAGUAUGUAAACUUCUAUCAGCAAGGAAGAUAGUGACGGUACCUGACUAAGAAGCCCCGGCUAACUACGUG